rnacentral:tRNA from 1 species
UCCUCCUUAGCUCAGCUGGUUAGAGCAUCUGACUGUUAAUCAGAGGGNNUUCGAGUCCAAGAGGAGGAG